GUGCAGCAGUCGAGAAAACUUCACACUGUGCGAAAGCACGAUGAGGGAAUCCCAAGUGCUUGCACGUAAGUGUAAGCUGUUUCUCUGUCUAAAACGCAGAGAGAGUAAGGGCUGGGUAAGACGGGUGCCAGCCGCCGCGGUAAUACCUGCAGCUCAAGUGGUGACCGUUAUUAUUGGGCCUAAAACGUCCGUAGCCGGUUUAAUAAAUGCCUGGGUAAAUUGUGUAGCUUAACUAUACGAAUUCCGGGUAGACUGUUAAACUUGAGACCGGGAGAAGUUAGAGGUACUCCUGGGGUAGAGGUGAAAAUUCUGUAAUCCUAGGGGGACCACCAGUGGCGAAGGCGUCUAACUAGAACGGGUCUGACGGUGAGGGACGAAGCCCUGGGGCGC
rnacentral:rRNA from 1 species